rnacentral:rRNA from 1 species
UACGAAGGGGACUAGCGUUGUUCGGAAUUACUGGGCGUAAAGCGCGCGUAGGCGGUUCGAUAAGUCGGGUGUGAAAGCCCUGGGCUCAACCUGGGAAUUGCAUUCGAUACUGUCGAGCUAGAGUGUGGUAGAGGGAAGUGGAAUUUCCGGUGUAGCGGUGAAAUGCGUAGAUAUCGGAAGGAACAUCAGUGGCGAAGGCGGCUUCCUGGACCAACACUGACGCUGAGGUGCGAAAGCGUGGGGAGCAAACAGG